rnacentral:rRNA from 1 species
CCUACGGGAGACAGCAGUGAGGAAUAUUGGUCAAUGGACGAGAGUCUGAACCAGCCAAGUAGCGUGAAGGAUGACUGCCCUAUGGGUUGUAAACUUCUUUUAUAUGGGAAUAAAACAGGGUAUGCAUACCCUCUUGUAUGUACCAUAUGAAUAAGGCUCGGAUAACUCCGUUCCAGCAGCCGCGGUAAUACGGGGGAUCCGAUCGUUAUCCGGAUUUAUUGGGUUAAAAGGGAGCGCAGGCGGAGGUGCAAGUCAGCGGUAAAAUUGCGGGGCUGAACCCCGUACUGCCGUUGAAACUGCAUCCCUUGAGUGCGCGAGAAGUAGGCGGAAUGCGUGGUGUAGAGGUGAAAUGCAUAGAUAUCACGCAGAACUCCGAUUGCGAAGGCAGCAUACCGGCGCGCAACUGACGCUCAUGCACGAAAGCGUGGGUAUCGAACAGGAUUAGAUACCCUGGUAGUC